rnacentral:rRNA from 1 species
AUUGAACGCUGGCGGCAGGCCUAACACAUGCAAGUCGAGCGGGGUUUUCGGACCUAGCGGCGGACGGGUGAGUAAUGCGUAGGAAGCUACCCGAUAGAGGGGGAUACCAGUUGGAAACGACUGUUAAUACCGCAUAAUGUCUACGGACCAAAGUGUGGGACCUUCGGGCCACAUGCUAUCGGAUGCGCCUACGUGGGAUUAGCUAGUUGGUGAGGUAAUGGCUCACCAAGGCGACGAUCCCUAGCUGGGUUGGGAGGAUGAUCAGCCACAAUGGAACGUAGAACCGGUCCAGACUCCUACGGGAGGCAGCAGUGGGGAAUAUUGGACAAUGGGCGCAAGCCUGAUCCAGCCAUGCCGCGUGUGUGAAGAAGGCCUUCGGGUUGUAAAGCACUUUCAGUAGGGAGGAAGCGUUGUGUGUUAAUAGUACACAGCGUUGACGUUACCUACAGAAGAAGCACCGGCUAACUCUGUGCCAGCCGCCGCCGUAACAC